UACGAAGGGGGGCUAGCGUUGCUCGGAAUCACUGGGCGUAAAGGGUGCGUAGGCGGGUCUUUAAGUCAGGGGUGAAAUCCUGGAGCUCAACUCCAGAACUGCCUUUGAUACUGAAGAUCUUGAGUUCGGGAGAGGUGAGUGGAACUGCGAGUGUAGAGGUGAAAUUCGUAGAUAUUCGCAAGAACACCAGUGGCGAAGGCGGCUCACUGGCCCGAUACUGACGCUGAUGCACGAAAGCUAGGGGAGCAAACAGG
rnacentral:rRNA from 1 species